rnacentral:rRNA from 1 species
AACGAACGCUGGCGGCAGGCUUAACACAUGCAAGUCGAGCGCCCCGCAAGGGGAGCGGCAGACGGGUGAGUAACGCGUGGGAAUCUACCCAUCUCUACGGAAUAACGCAUGGAGACGUGUGCUAAUACCGUAUACGUCCUUCGGGAGAAAGAUUUAUCGGAGAUGGAUGAGCCCGCGUUGGAUUAGCUAGUUGGUGGGGUAAAGGCCUACCAAGGCGACGAUCCAUAGCUGGUCUGAGAGGAUGAUCAGCCACACUGGGACUGAGACACGGCCCAGACUCCUACGGGAGGCAGCAGUGGGGAAUAUUGGACAAUGGGCGCAAGCCUGAUCCAGCCAUGCCGCGUGAGUGAUGAAGGCCCUAGGGUUGUAAAGCUCUUUCACCGGUGAAGAUAAUGACGGUAGCCGGAGAAGAAGCCCCGGCUAACUUCGUGCCAGCCGCCGCGGUAACAC